GUCUGAAUGAAAAUCCAAGCUCCCGACUUGUCAAUGUGCUAUGUUUUGACAUUUUCAGGUUUGCUGACCACGAUCAGCAACAAUACAGCUCAAGUUAACCGGGUAAAUCUGACCAAGGAAGUUAGCGAGGAGUUUGGAGUAAAUUGCUGAAAAAAUUGCGUCAAAUCCAGGGACUGAAAUUGGAUUUAGUUCGAGUUAGUGGAGAGUUUCAGUUAAACGUAUUGUAUUAUACCGUGAUACCAAAACUCAUUAGUCGGUAAGUGACACUUAAAAGCGACCAACCGUCCUUGUCGUUUUGGGGGGGGACAACUUGAAAUCUAGUCACUUCAGUACUAGUCUAGUGUGGUUUUUUUUUCAUAAGUACAUUCAAGUAGCAUUUUCAUGAUUACAUUCUCUCAAAAGAAUAUGUAUUAGCAUAAUAAUAGGUGGAAUAAAUCGACUGGGGGAUUUGGGGAAAAUUUUGAACGCUCAGACCGUGAAAAAAACAGGAAAUGUUUUGAGAUGUCUGCGUCUCGGGUAUCUCGCACAGAAAUCAUCAGAGCUUAUUGUAGACGGCUACCUACACUGGACCACCACGUUUGAGAUAUCUUUUUCAGGCAAUUCAGACACAAACCACGGCAGCUUAUUGUAGAAUACUGCUUGCACGGGACCACCACGUUUGAGAUAUCUUUUUCAGGUAGUUCAGACAUAAACCACGAUCGACAGCUUAUUGUAGAAUACUACCUACACUGGACAACAGAGUUUGAGAUAUCUUUUUCAGGUAGUUCAGACACAAACCAAGACAGGUUAUUGUAGAAUACUACCUACACUGGACCACCACGUUUGAGAUAUCUUUUUCAGGUAGUUCAGACACAAACCGCGACAGGUUAUUGGAGAAUACUACCUACACUGGACCACCACGUUUGAGAUAUCUUUUUCAAUUUUCAGGUAGUUCAGACACAAACCAAGACAGGUUAUUGUAGAAUACUAUCUACACUGGACCACAACGUUUGAGAUAUAUUUUUCAGGUAGUUCACACACAAAGGGGGUCUAUUAUAGUUUGUCGGUUAGGCGCGGUUUUGGCGAUUUUGAGACGGCGGUUUUCGGUGAUAUAUCUCAAUUUUCGUGGCGAUUUACGGUGAAUUCGGAAAAAAUAAUCACUCGGUAAUGGAAAAUCGUUGAGCAUGCGCAGACUAUCUUACAUAACUCAUAAACUCCUUUUGAAGAUUGACUGUCAGUUCACAAAAAUAAAAUCUAAUAAAGCAUAUAGUAAAUUUGUUAUUGAGUCAGGCUAUCUGCCAUAAAAAAAUGGUCUAAACUUGGGAAGUAUCACGCGGAACUGGAGUUCGUAAAUUAUGUACUGUUUAAAGUAUAAUUAUAGGAGUGUUUUAUCAGGUUUAAAGCCAUGGCACGUGACAUAUUAUAGUUGACACGAUUUGCCAAUACGCUUAUGAAUUGUUAAUGAGUGUUUGAAAGAUCAGUUCUUACGCAAAAUACAAAAUGGCUUACUAUGCAGUGUUGAAACUGUCAAUUUAUUAUCGUUAUUAUCAGUAUCAAUAAUCUUGGGUCUGCAUAAAGGCGGUUUUCCACUAGGCGAAAAUUUUCGACCGAAACGAAAUUUCUCUUUGUCUUUUUACAAUUAGUUCUGCUCGAGAGCUCUGAAACAAAGAGAAAUUUCGAUUCGGUCGAAAAAUUCCGCCUCGUGGAAAACCGCCUUUACAAGCACUCGGAUGGAACUAAACAGAAAUCUUUUGAAUUUGAACAAUAGAAAUUUGUGUUCGAUCGAAAAAUUUCGCCUAGUGAAAAAAACGAGCCCGGCAUGCGAGGCACCCAAAACUUGCGAAUCACACAUCAAUUAAUACAGCAGCGAGCCAUGCAUAUUUCGCAGAGACGUUUCUAUUAGAUCAAAUAUAUUUGCACCAGUAUAUUAUAUUGUGAUAAUUUUAAAGCUUAUAUGCUGAAAACAAUGUUUUCUGUUUAAUUUAUAUAAGGUACGGAAUAAAUGUUGAAGAUAGCCAUAUCUUCACAUAAUGCAGUACCAAAAUCGACAAUGCUUGGUCUUAUUAAACAUUUUUACUGAAUACUGCAAGCACACUGCAACUACUAAAUUCAACGAAAUCGAAUCUAAGUUUAGCUUUAUAGCUUUAUUUAUUGUAGACUGCAUAUUCUCACAGAGGUCUAUAUAAAAAAAAUUUAUGUCCGGAAAAUAUUUUUGCGAUACGUUAAUUAGCACAAUACAUUAAUUAUUGAAAAAAAAAACACCAACAAAAUGCUUGAAAAGUGACUAUAUCCGGCUUUCUAUCUCCAAAUUACAGGAAAUAAAAAUAUUUCAAAACUCUUUAAAUCUUCAUUUAGCUUGGCGUAAUUGCCUCAAUGUUGCACGUAAUUGCCUCUAUACAAAGUCUUGUCUUCUGUGAUAUUUGCUCAUAGCCAUAUAUAGCCGUGAAAACAGGCGAGUUUACUGCAAUGGCAACGAAAUUUAAGUCGUUCGGCGUUCUCGAGAUAUGUAAAUUAAAUAAAUCUAUGGCAUUAUGCAUGGAAGUAAAAUAUUAGUUUCAAAGGUAUAGUAUAGUCUCCGGCGUUAAAGGUUGAAAAUGAUGAAAUAUUUCAAACCGUAUACAGCUAAUUCAAAAAAGGUUUUCUUUUGAAAAACCUUAAAUUCAAAACCUUAAACCUUAAACUCUAAGCGUGCAAAGCAUAUUAACGGGAACAGUUAUGAUUAAUCAGUUCAGAAAGCAGUAUAUGGGGCCCGUUUCUUAGUCUUAGGGCACUUCCGAAUUUUUUGUCUCUGUAUCAAUGGAAAGAUCUGGUCUAUGUUUCUCAAAUAGCUAGCAAAAUGGACCUCAUUCUAAUAUUAUCUAAAUUUUCCGGUCAGAUAGGUCCGAAGACCAAGCGUUUUGUAUUCCAUUCAACAAUUUGACCGUUCUGGCCGUGUUAAUGGAAAGCGCCCGUAUAGAGACAUGAUCACGGUAAAUAUUUAGGGAGAAGAGUUCACAACUGACAAUAUACAGGCUAAGGUUUCCUUUAGCUUCUGUACUUACGUUGUAAAAGGCUUAAGUAUUUUUUUAUAAUAAACGGCUAAAGUAUUUUGUUUUUAAUUUUCUUUGUUCAGAGAAAGGGCAGCAAAACCUUUCAAUUCCUUUUCAGACAGAAUGCCUGCAUGUACUCCCCCACAAGCUUAAUUGCUGCAAUAAUAGUUAUAGUUAUAGCUAUAGCUACGACUAUGUGCAAACGGUGCAGUAUUGUAAUUCUUCAGAGAGAUAUUGUACGUGUUCUAAUUGGGUCUGCAACUUGUGAGGCGCUCAACAAGAUUCCAGAAUAUAUAUCAUGCGGUUAAAUGUUUAUUUCUCACAACGAAAAUCUGCUACCUUUCAGUCCUCUCAUCGACCGUUGCGGAGUUUCUGGCCGAUAAACUUUUACUGUAUAAGAAAAAGGACGGUUACGGUUUUCGCGAAGAAAUACGGGCGAUUAACGGUGAAGGAGGCAAAAAUAGGACGGUUUGCGGAGCGAUCAACCCCCUAUAAUAGACCCCCCACAAACCACGACACUGAGCUUAUUUUAGAAUACUAUCUACACUGGAUCACCACGGCAAACAACGACAGCUCAUUGUGGACUAUACCGCUACCGGCUACACAGUGGACCAUCACGUCUGAGAUAUCUUUUUCAGGUAGUUCAGACACAAACCACGGUAGCUUAUAUUGUAGAAUACUACCUACACUGGACCACCAUGUUUGAGAAAUCUUUUUCAAGUACUUCAGACACAAACCACGAGAGCUUAUUGUAGAAUACUACCUACACUGGACCACCACGUUUGAGGUAUCUUUUUCAGGUAGUUCAGACACAAACCACGACAGCUUAUUGUAGAAUAUUGGCCUACACUAUAGACCACCACGUUUGAGAUAUCUUUUUCAAGUAGCUCAGACACAAACCACGACAGUUUAACUAUGUUGAAUGUGUUUGGGAGUUCAAUAGGCUCUCCGUGGCAAAUAUAAUGUCAUAAUGGCACAACAUGCAGGUGGUGCUUUUCAUGGUUGAUUAAGAUAUUGUUUCAGUGGACCUCACGUUUGAGAUAUUUUUUCAGGUAGAAUAUACAAUAGAACAGUAAUUAAAUCACUUUUCGUACGUGCAUAUUGCCAUAUAGCCUGCGUCGUGCAAUACUGUAGAACAGUAAUUAAAUCGUUCAAUAAUAGCGGACCAGUCAGUUUUGCGUCAAUAGACUAGUGAUUUGAUAAAUCAUUUUCAUACGUGGAUACUAUGUCGUAGUCUAACGUACAUAUAGUUGGUCUUCUUUGUAAAGCAAAAUAAUAGUUACAAAGAAACAUACGCGUACACUUAUAAAGGGAAUAUAUUUUCUAUUUAAGCUAGUCUAUAUACGUGAUAGAUUUUAGCGCGGGAUUCCUUCGAGAUAUAUAUCAGUAUUUAAUGACGUCGCCGGUCAGCUACACAUAGUUUACGCGCUAGACCUCUUCAAUAGAUGAUUCUAGCUACAUAAUAAAUUUUGAUCCAGGCAGCAAGAACCGAAAUCCGUUACCACAGCUAAACAGAGCAUGUUAAAAUUAGUAAAAUUGCAAAGUUUGGUUGUGAAAUGUUGUAAAAUGAGGAAAAUAUAGCCCUGCGAAAUUUGCAAAUUUUGCCAUUAAUUUGUAUUAGGCUACGCACGGGAAAAUGCAGCACAUUUGGGCCGAAAGUGGUGCAUUUUCCCGUGCGUAAUACAAAUUAAAGGUCCACACAGACCGGACGCGAUUUGGCAACGCGACGCACUAAUUUUCAGUUUUCAAUGACAUUUAACUUUAAUAUUUUUCUAUGUUUUUCAAAUAUUCGGAACCGCUUAAGCAAUUUUAGCUAUUUGGGUCUGCAUAUCUUGUAAAAUUUUGAUCCGUUGAUGGUUUUAUUUGUUUUUGAAAACUGAAAAUUCGCGUCGCGUUGCCGAAUCGCGUCAGGUCUGUGUGGGCCUAAAUACAAAAUUUGCAAAUUUCGCAUGGGUAUAUUUUCCGCAUUUUACAACAUUUCGCAACCAAACUUUGCAAUUUUACUAAUUUUAACAUGCUCUUUCUAGAUGUGGUGAUGGAUUUUGUUCUUCUUGCCCAGAUCAAAAUUUAGUGUAUAGCUAGAAUCAUCCAUCAUACUGAUAGCCCGUGUUGGCAACAGGCUUGUAGCAAGCUUGUCGUCCAGUUGUAACAAUGCUGUUAUUUUAUCAAGUUGCUACAAGGUUGUCACUCACAACUUGUUGACAAAUUGUUGAAUUGCAGGACAAUAACACAUUGUUGGAACCAUUGCUGUAACAAGUCUGUCGAGCUCAACAACUUUUGUAGCAAGUUAUCUUGUUUGCAGUUGUUUUGACACACAAGUUGCUUGUUUGCAAUUGUUGUGACAAGUCUGGAACAAGCUGUUAUCACCUUCUUACAAGGUUGAUGACGCGGUAACAGACUUGCUACAAGUUGUUCCAACAAGACUGAUACAGGCUGUUCGUAACAAGUUGCUACGAGCUUGUUGUCAUCAACUUAAUGUUACGUGCAGAUUAUCAGACUUGUUUGUUACGCGUGCAGAUUAUCAGACUUGUUGGAACAACUUGUUGCGAGUCUGUUGGCCUCGUCAACCGUGUUACAAGAUGAUAGCAACUUGUUCCAGACUUGUCAACAACUGGGAACAAGCAAUGCGAACACAUCUUGUUGACAAUUUAGCUGUGAGAUUUCUAUGCAUGGUACAAUGAAUUCUUUAUGUUUUUUAUGAAUACUCUUAAUAUAUGUAGUUCGUUGUGAUUUAUGACUAUGUACAUUUAAAACUGAAUUAUGUACAUUUAAAACUGAAACAGCACCAAUAAUAAUUUUGCAUUAGUCAACAAUAUUAGCCAAAAUUAUUAAUACUGUCACCUAAAAUGAUAGAGAAGGUUCCGCUAUGAUGUCAGAUUAAUUUUUCAUGAGCUAAUCACACGGUUUCCUGUUCGGAAUUCGCUGUGACAUGACAGGCAAUUAAUUCCUGUUUAUAUAGGCGGACAAACAACAGAGUGUCGCAAUUGCGAAUUAUGGCGUUGGGGCUCGUUUCGAUUUGGAAAACCAUUCUGGAAUGCAAGAGAGUUUUGAUAUUAGUCUUAACUCCCAUUCUCCUGUGCCCUUUACCAGCAUUAGUGGACGAUAAAGUAAGUUUAUAUCUCAAUCAGUAGUUUCAGUAGCGUUUGAAAUUACAUAACCGUUGCGAGAAAAUUGCGCUUGUUUGGUUUCGUAUGUGUGCGGCGAAUUUGCCGAAGAAUUUUUACAGCGAAUUUUGGUGGUUUAAACGCCGG
rnacentral:lncRNA from 1 species